rnacentral:rRNA from 1 species
GGGUGACUGCGUACCUUUUGUAUAAUGGGUCAGCGACUUAUAUUCUGUAGCAAGGUUAACCGUAUAGGGGAGCCGCAGGGAAACCGAGUCUUAACUGGGCGUUAAGUUGCAGGGUAUAGACCCGAAACCCGGUGAUCUAGCCAUGGGCAGGUUGAAGGUUGGGUAACACUAACUGGAGGACCGAACCGACUAAUGUUGAAAAAUUAGCGGAUGACUUGUGGCUGGGGGUGAAAGGCCAAUCAAACCGGGAGAUAGCUGGUUCUCCCCGAAAGCUAUUUAGGUAGCGCCUCGUGAAUUCAUCUUCGGGGGUAGAGCACUGUUUCGGCUAGGGGGUCAUCCCGACUUACCAACCCGAUGCAAACUACGAAUACCGAAGAAUGUUAUCACGGGAGACACACGGCGGGUGCUAACGUCCGUCGUGAAGAGGGAAACAACCCAGACCGCCAGCUAAGGUCCCAAAGUCAUGGUUAAGUGGGAAACGAUGUGGGAAGGCCCAGACAGCCAGGAUGUUGGCUUAGAAGCAGCCAUCAUUUAAAGAAAGCGUAAUAGCUCACUGGUCGAGUCGGCCUGCGCGGAAGAUGUAACGGGGCUAAACCAUGCACCGAAGCUGCGGCAGCGACACUAUGUGUUGUUGGGUAGGGGAGCGUUCUGUAAGCCGUUGAAGGUGGCCUGUGAGGGUUGCUGGAGGUAUCAGAAGUGCGAAUGCUGACAUAAGUAACGAUAAUGCGGGUGAAAAACCCGCACGCCGGAAGACCAAGGGUUCCUGUCCAACGUUAAUCGGGGCAGGGUGAGUCGACCCCUAAGGCGAGGCCGAAAGGCGUAGUCGAUGGGAAACAGGUUAAUAUUCCUGUACUCGGUGUUACUGCGAAGGGGGGACGGAGAAGGCUAUGUUGGCCGGGCGACGGUUGUCCCGGUUUAAGCAUGUAGGCGGAUGUUCCAGGUAAAUCCGGAACGUCACUAACGCUGAGGUGUGAUGACGAGGCACUACGGUGCUGAAGUGACAAAUGCCCUGCUUCCAGGAAAAGCCUCUAAGCAUCAGGUAACAUCAAAUCGUACCCCAAACCGACACAGGUGGUCAGGUAGAGAAUACCAAGGCGCUUGAGAGAACUCGGGUGAAGGAACUAGGCAAAAUGGUGCCGUAACUUCGGGAGAAGGCACGCUGAUGGUAGGUGAAGCGACUUGCUCGUGGAGCUGAAAUCAGUCGAAGAUACCAGCUGGCUGCAACUGUUUAUUAAAAACACAGCACUGUGCAAACACGAAAGUGGACGUAUACGGUGUGACGCCUGCCCGGUGCCGGAAGGUUAAUUGAUGGGGUUAUCCGUAAGGAGAAGCUCUUGAUCGAAGCCCCGGUAAACGGCGGCCGUAACUAUAACGGUCCUAAGGUAGCGAAAUUCCUUGUCGGGUAAGUUCCGACCUGCACGAAUGGCGUAAUGAUGGCCAGGCUGUCUCCACCCGAGACUCAGUGAAAUUGAACUCGCUGUGAAGAUGCAGUGUACCCGCGGCAAGACGGAAAGACCCCGUGAACCUUUACUAUAGCUUGACACUGAACACUGGUCCUUGAUGUGUAGGAUAGGUGGGAGGCUUUGAAGUGUGGACGCCAGUCUGCAUGGAGCCAUCCUUGAAAUACCACCCUUUAAUGGCUGGUGUUCUAACGUGGGCCCCUAAUCGGGGUUGCGGACAGUGUCUGGUGGGUAGUUUGACUGGGGCGGUCUCCUCCUAAAGAGUAACGGAGGAGCACGAAGGUCAGCUAAUCCUGGUCGGACAUCAGGAGGUUAGUGCAAUGGCAUAAGCUGGCUUGACUGCGAGCGUGACGGCGCGAGCAGGUGCGAAAGCAGGUCAUAGUGAUCCGGUGGUUCUGAAUGGAAGGGCCAUCGCUCAACGGAUAAAAGGUACUCCGGGGAUAACAGGCUGAUACCGCCCAAGAGUUCAUAUCGACGGCGGUGUUUGGCACCUCGAUGUCGGCUCAUCACAUCCUGGGGCUGAAGUAGGUCCCAAGGGUAUGGCUGUUCGCCAUUUAAAGUGGUACGCGAGCUGGGUUUAGAACGUCGUGAGACAGUUCGGUCCCUAUCUGCCGUGGGCGCUGGAGAAUUGAGGGGGGCUGCUCCUAGUACGAGAGGACCGGAGUGGACGCAUCACUGGUGUUCGGGUUGUCAUGCCAAUGGCAUUGCCCGGUAGCUAAAUGCGGAAGAGAUAAGUGCUGAAAGCAUCUAAGCACGAAACUUGCCCCGAGAUGAGUUCUCCCUGACUCCUUGAGAGUCCUGAAGGAACGUUGAAGACGACGACGUUGAUAGGCCGGGUGUGUAAGCGCAGCGAUGCGUUGAGCUAACCGGUACUAAUGAACCGUGAGGCUUAACCUU